CACACAUACACAAAUAAAUAAAACAUGAUAAAGAAUGCCAAAUAUGUAGAAUACUUGUGUAAUAGUUUACAACAUGCUAAAGCCUGAAAAGAGAACAUAAUAAAAUAAUAUUCAUUAUAAUAUAAAUUAUAAUUAUUCAUUAAUUAAAAAAUCAAAGUAAAUAUUAAUCCAACUUUUAGUAGCACUUAAUUUUUUUUAAAUGGGACUCCAUAUUUCUGAGUUGGCCCUUCUUUGUGUAAAGUUAAUAACAUAAUUUGUCUGGUUUAGGGACCACUUGUAGGGAGAAUGGGAGGGAAUUGAACCCACAUAAUGACAGUAACUCCUAAGAAAAAUGUUAAGUGCCUUUUUUUCUUUUCUGAUAAAUGUCUUACAGAUACCUGUGGUCCCUCAAUGUUCCUCACACAAUAAUGCAAGUCAACUUGAUGGCUGGAAGUUCAUUCAUUUCACAUUUACCAUCUGAUUCAUUUCACAGAGAGAAGAGAAUGAGCUUACUUCCCGAGCAGAACGCGGGGUCCUUUAUCUGUAGCACUCCAACCAGUUAUCUUGACAACACUGCCUUUGCAAGGAGGGCAUCGUAUGGAAAGGCAUUGAAGGAUUCUGGUUUAAAAUUGAACGCCAGCAAGAUUUCAGAGAGGAUUCUGAGAAUUACACGAGUGGCUUCAGAAUGGUCGGAAAGGAGGACAUCCAGAAGCCCUGUGAAGAUAGAUUCAAAGACAAUAGUAGCAUCAACACCUGGCAUCCUUGCAUGGUAAAAAUAAUCCCUUGUCUGUGAAUGUGAAGUAUGGUUAAAUACCUCUGUGGGCAAGUGCAAAUUGAUUAAAUAGUUACUUAUAUUUUGUGUGCAUAUGUGUGUGCACAAGACUUUGGGAGUUGAG
rnacentral:lncRNA from 1 species